UUUAUCUUGGUGUUAAGCACGUAAAUUUUUGGUAUUUAAGGUAGGGAAAA
rnacentral:tRNA from 1 species